rnacentral:misc_RNA from 1 species
GGAAGCAAAAGUCGUAACAAGGUUUCCGUAGGUGAACCUGCGGAAGGAUCAUUACAAAUCUUUUGUGGUGUGGGGGGUUAGUUGAGGGGGAGGUAUCUAUAUCUCUCUCUCUACAACUAACUCUACCCACGACCCACAACAUUGACUCGGGCUCGGCUAUCUAACCCAGCGUUGGGUAGCCGAGUCUUGAGACAUUCACGCUUGUUGUGUUUGACUGUUAUAUAUACGCUAAUUUAAAGACAACUUUUAACAAUGGAUCUCUUGGCUCUU